CCAAGCCUGAAAUCGAUCACAUUACUAGUACAGAUGAGUUUUGAGCCACUGACUGGCCUGAAGAUUUGAUUCUCAACAUUUUGUUUAACCAUUAUGAAGUAACGAUAAUCGUAGUCUGUUCCCCUAUCAAUCUAUAGCCAUCAUCAUAGAGGUUUAUGGCAAUGUUUUAGUUCCAUGAUUAAGUGUCAUCAUCGAGUCCAUUUAACCAGACAAAAUUACUGGCGAAAAUGAAGAUUUAAUGUAACGGUAGCUUGCAGAAGAAAAGAACGUCAUGCAUCCCAUCUUUAACAUUUAUGCAUUCCACACUUGUGAAAAGAGGUUUAUCUCUGUAAAACCUUCAAACCAUUCAACACUCUCUCUUAGCUUUGAUAUUGAGUAACAGAAUGGAUGGCAUCAUUGGACACAAUUUUGAGAAACUGCUAUAUUUGUACUGCUAUUUGCCUUUGCUUACUUUACGUAAUUUGGGUUGCUACCGACAUGCAGAAGUUCACAUCCAUAACCAUUUGUCGGAAUUUCCAUAGUUUUUGCAUUUUGUCAAGAGCAUUGCUGUACAGUUUUUGCUGAUAAGAUCAAAAGAAUUCUGAAUAUUGUGCACACCAUAAUCAUCUAUAACCAGAAUCAGGAUCAUUGGCACCGCCCUACCCACUCUUGAGGACUUGCACACUGCAAGAAUCAAGACAAGGGCACGGAAAAUCCUACUGGACCCCCACAGCCUGCCCACCACCUUUUUCAGCUAGUCCCCUCAGGCAAGGCGCUGCCGAUCCAUGCGCACCAAAUCCAGCAGACGCUUAAACAGCUUCUUCCCUCUAGCCAUUAACUCCCUAAACAGAAACCCAAAUCUACCUGUAUAGUGGCUCUUUGCAAGUUUGCACAACCCUGUGGAACAGCAUCCCGUUAUAGUUAUUGUAGCUCCAGCUCUGUACUCACUUGAACCACUGUCACUGAUCUCUAUUUCACAGCACCAGACACUUUAAAGCGCUCAAGGACAUCUGCAUAAUUGCACACUUGUUGUACUAUAAAUACUGCUCCUGGUCACCUGAAAAUGGUUCAAUGAUUUUCUGCACCUACUGUACAAAUGUUAGAGUAUUUUAUUCUCCCACUGAUCAGUUUAGCCCCCCAUGGUACUUUGUGUAUUGUCUCACAGUUGUCACUGGGUGGUACCACCGCACAACGGUUCACUUACAUCAGGGGUGUCCAAAGUGGACCGACUUUGGACACAAGGGCCGCUGUCCUGCCUGUUUUCCAGCUCUCCCAAGAGCAACACACCUGAUUUGAAUAAUCAGGAACGUUCUAAUGCUGCUUCAGAGCUGGCUGAUCAUCUGAAUCAGGUGUGUUGCAGCCGGGAGAGUUGGAAAACAGGCAGCACAGUGGCCCAGGCCCGGAGCUGGACAUGCCUGACUUACAUUGUGGAAUGUCCUUCCAUACUUAUUUGUCAUGUCCUUGUUUAUAAUGAACUAGUGCAGUGUGUUCUUACCGGAGACAAAUUCCUUGUGUGUUCUACAUACUUGGCCAAUAAGGAAUCUGAUUCCGAUUCGGAUCAAUGAUAAAUGUAGUUGCCAUAUUUUCCGCACUAAAAGGCGCACCUAAAAGCCUUCCAUUUUCUUAAAGGCUCACAACGCACCUUAAAAUCCGAUGCGCCUUGGUGGUUAUUACGGUAAUAUGUCAACCCCAAAAUGGCUCCUUGCUAGAGAUACGCUUACAAUGCAGAGUUCAAACUUAAGAUAAGAUAAGAAAAAAGAAAAACCUUUAUUAGUCUCACAAUGGAGAAAUUCCCAAUUCACAGCAGCAAAGUUAUGAAAGUAAGAAGUAGAACAACAAAAUAUAGGAGCUGCUGGAAAGGCAGCCACUCUCGCGGCGCCAUUUUGAAGUCAAAAUAACAAAAAUGACACAAGACAACACAUAGGACACAGACAGUCGUUCAAUCUUCACCAAUUUUCUGCAUACACUUUGUUGUCUGAAGCAGUUCUAGAUGAAAGAGGAGAGGAUCAAAGUGUCCUUUCUCCAGUGGAUCAGAUACGUCAUGCUGAAAAUGUGCACACGUCUGCUACAAGCCAAGUUUUGAAAGCAAACACAAAGCUGUAGCAUCCAUUGACGAAAAGAGAUUAGUUCGCUUCUCCUGUCCCAAGUAAUCCGCUUCAAACUCCAAGCCGCGACUCCCAGCUCCAAAUCCGCAUCGGCACUCCGCGCCAACGCUCCUUUCUUCUCAUCGUCGGCUCCUCAAGACCUCCAUCCAUCCAGCCGCAGACCGUUCAACAGCACCGAUCUCUCCGCUGAACAAAGCGGGGCUGUGAAAAAUGCUGCCCAUUACAGGCGCAAGACACAAGCGCCCCGGGACUGUCCAGCAACGACAGUCAAAUGGCGCCGACAUUCCUCCAGUCAAAAACAGUGCUGGUAUACCCAUGCUGCCGAGAAGGCGCAACCACCAAGCACUUAAGGCAAUCAGGUUACGCAGUUGAACACGGAAACACAGCAGUUGCAAGAGAGUUCAAUGUUAACGAGUCAAUGCUAUAACUUGCUGUUAGUUAAGUGAACCGUGUUGCUCCUUUAUUAAAUCAUAAAUCUGAUCGUUCUGUAGCAACCCCACUCAACACCUAAGCUAUCUUGGCUGUUGUCGUUUGUUCAAAGCUUCUUUGAUCUCUGUGACGUGGGUUGCGUCGGCGCUGAUGGCAUCAGACUUUAGACUGCUGAGGCCCUUCACUCGAGUUGCGUUUCUGCAGUUCUGUUGGCAUUUCCUUGAGCGUAGCUCCAUCUAGUGGAUGCAUUGUAGAUUGUGUCUUUCAGCGUGGUGCGUACAAUACAGUAUAUGAAAAAAAAUACAAAAUAGGCCAUCCAUUGAAAGUGCGCCUCAUAAUCCAGUGGACCUUUUAGUGUGGAAAAUAACGUCAUG